UGGUAUGCAGUUGUCCGUCGAUGCUGA
rnacentral:sRNA from 1 species